AACAUGCAUUUAAGCGAUGCAGUAAUAUUUGCUAGCGGCAUUAUAAAUGUUUAUCACUGUUUUUACUGUUACUUAUUUUUUUUUCCUUCCUGAAAGUAAUACCAGAACCUUUGUUCCACGUUCGGUCCCCCACCAAACACCGACGAAACGCUCCUCGCCUCCCCUCAGGCGUUUCGCGCCCUUUUCGCCGCCGCGCGCUUCCCGCCACCGCGUGAGGGGACGAGGAGGGUGAGGAGGGUGAGGAGGAAGGAGCGAUGAGGAAAAGCCCCCGACGGGCUCCGCGUAGCUGGCGGCGCUGCGAGGGGCGCUGCUGGCGCUGCAGCAGGGAGGAAGGUGAAGGUGAAUGUGAAGGCGAAGGCGAAGGUUGGCCAUCGCCUCCGCGGCGCCCGGCCGGGAGCAGCAGCGCGGGGCAGGAGGAGGAGAAGAGCCCAGUGGUGGCCGCAGCCAUGGCGGUCGGACCCCUCGGGGAGCGGAGCCCCAGCAAGGGACGAGGGGAAGAGCCGGGACAAGCAGCGAGACCCAGGUGCGCUGCGGACGGGGGAUGCUGAGGGGCGGGCGGUGAUGAGGGACGAGCUGACAAUGGGGUGUUUUUACCUAGGGUAUGAUUUGAUAAGAAUAGCAUUUUAAAAAGGACAGGGCAUUAUAACCCAGUAUGCAUACUGUUUGUGAAAGCACCUGAGACACAAUCGUUUUGG
rnacentral:lncRNA from 12 species